AUUGAACGCUGGCGGCAUGCCUUACACAUGCAAGUCGAACGGCAGCACGGGUGCUUGCACCUGGUGGCGAGUGGCGAACGGGUGAGUAAUACAUCGGAACAUGUCCUGUAGUGGGGGAUAGCCCGGCGAAAGCCGGAUUAAUACCGCAUACGAUCUACGGAUGAAAGCGGGGGACCUUCGGGCCUCGCGCUGUAGGGUUGGCCGAUGGCUGAUUAGCUAGUUGGUGGGGUAAAGGCCUACCAAGGCGACGAUCAGUAGCUGGUCUGAGAGGAAGACCAGCCACACUGGGACUGAGACACGGCCCAGACUCCUACGGGAGGCAGCAGUGGGGAAUUUUGGACAAUGGGCGAAAGCCUGAUCCAGCAAUGCCGCGUGUGUGAAGAAGGCCUUCGGGUUGUAAAGCACUUUUGUCCGGAAAGAAAUCCUUGGCCCUAAUACGGGCGGGGGAUGACGGUACCGGAAGAAUAAGCACCGGCUAACUACGUG
rnacentral:rRNA from 1 species